ensembl:lncRNA
GGCUCCCUCACUCCCAUAUAGGGUACAGCCAGCACUCAGGGCUCCCUCACUCCCGUAUAGGGUGCUGCCAGGACUCAGGGCUCCCUCAUUCCCAUACAGGGUGCAGCCAGCACUCAGGGCUCCCUCACUCCCAUAUAGGGUACAGCCAGGACUCAGGGUUCCCUCACUCCCGUAUAGGGUACAGCCAGCACUCAGGGCUCCCUCACUCCCAUAUAGGUGCAGCCAGCACUCAGGGCUCCCUCACUCCCAUACAGGGUACAGCCAGGACUCAGGGCUCCCUCACUCCCAUAUAGGGUGCUGCCAGCACUCAGGGCUUCCUCACUCCCAUAUAGGGUGCAGCCAGCACUCAGGGCUCCCUCACUCCCAUAUAGGGUACAGCCAGCACUCAGGGCUCCCUCACUCCCAUAUAGGGUGCAGCCAGGACUCAGGGCUCCCUCACUCCCAUAUAGGGAACAGCCAGCACUCAGGGCUCCCUCACUCCCGUAUAGGGUACAGCCAGCACUCAGGGCUCCCUCACUCCCAUAUAGGGUGCAGCCAGCACUCAGGGCUCCCUCACUCCCAUAUAGGUGCAGCCAUCUGGAGCAGAGAGCUGGCCCUGUACCACACGUCCAGCCCUAGAGCGUCUGUGUGUUCCAGAUCUUAAUGAGAGUUUUCAGCGACAGUGGUGGGCAACCACCCAGCACUCAAGAGAAAGACAGGCAGAUGGGGGCGUGGGGGGCAGGAGAGAGAGAGAGAGAGAGAGCACACACGGAGCGUUAGGUGGCUCUGCUCCCCUUUCCCACGUGCAGGACUGGAGUCCUCAGGGGCUCUUCCACCCGCACUGCAUUACUGCCCACCUCACGUUUCCAUUUGUUUCUUUGCAGACGAGGAUUUAAGUGAUUUUUGCUUUCUUUCUCCUCUUAGAACAGGUCCCACCAGCUUUGCCCCCUGUAAACGAAGGGCUUCUCAGGCCCUAGGGUGAGCACAGGGAGUUACUCCCAGGAGGGCAUCUGCUGGGGACCCGAGCUGCUGUCACACUGGAGUGGAGCUGUUUGUCUCUGGUGAGAUCGGCAUUCAUCCCAGCUCCUGGGCCAGAGCAGGGCCAGGUAGAGCAAAGGCAGGCCUGAGUGCACCAGGUCUCUCCACUCCAGCCGGGCGUCCUUACAGCCCCUCCUCCCCUCGAGGGUGCCCGUGCCAGAGUCACAAUGGCACAGGUCCACAGGCCAUUGUGUCCACAGGGAGCCGGCAUCAAGAUGCAGUCUCACUCACUGUGGAAGAGGAAACACUGGGCGUAACCCUGCCACAUAACAGGACCUGCACACUGCACAGUCCGUGUCAAGGAAGCCCAUCCGAAGCAAAACUCAAGGGAGUGGAGGACACAGACAGUGCUCAAAGCUGACAAGAUUCAACAUGGCCAAGACGAAAAUUCCCCCCACAUCCCGCUGCAGUCUCGAUGCAGUUCCCAUCAAGGCCUCAGCCAGGUUUCCCACAGACAAACACAAGCUUAUUUUAAGAUGUAUAUCUGGGCCUGCACCCACGUGGGAGACCUGGAAGAAGCUCCUGGCUCCUGGCUUUGGAUCGAUGCAGCUCCAGCCAUUGCAGCCAUCUGGGGAGUGAACCAGCAGAUGGAAGACUUCUCUCUCCCUCUCUUUCUCUCUCUCUCUCUCUCUCUCAGCCUCUGCCUCUCUGUAACUUUGUCUUUCAAAUAAAUAAAUUUAAAAAAAGACGCA